rnacentral:piRNA from 1 species
ACCAUCGAUGGAGUUAGAGGUACGUAGA